GAUGAACGCUGGCGGCGUGCCUAAUACAUGCAAGUCGAGCGAACGGACGAGAAGCUUGCUUCUCUGAUGUUAGCGGCGGACGGGUGAGUAACACGUGGAUAACCUACCUAUAAGACGGGGAUAACUUCGGGAAACCGGAGCUAAUACCGGAUAAUAUUUUGAACCGCAUGGUUCAAAAGUGAAAGACGGUCUUGCUGUCACUUAUAGAUGGAUCCGCGCUGCAUUAGCUAGUUGGUAAGGUAACGGCUUACCAAGGCGACGAUGCAUAGCCGACCUGAGAGGAUGAGCACCCACCCGGGAACGGAGACACGGUCCAGACUCCGACGGGAGGCAGCAGUGGGGAAUAUUGGACAAGGGGCGCAAGCCUGAUCCAUCCAUACCGCGUGGUGGAAGAAGGCCUUCGGGUGGUAAAGCCCUUGUGUUGGGAAAGAAAAGCAUCAGGUUAAUACCCCGCUGUUCUGACGGUACCCAAAGAAUAAGCACCGGCUAACUUCGUG
rnacentral:rRNA from 1 species